CGGCUCCGUGGCUUAAUGGUUACGGUUUCUGCCUCAUAAGCAGAAGGUUCAGGGAUCAAACCCCGGUCGGUACCUCUGAAAUUUGGAAUCAUGAAUUUGAACUUUGAAUAUGAACAAAAACGAAAUAGAACAAGGUGUGAUUCGAACUCACACCUUUGGAUUUAUGGUCUGGGACGCUAAGCAGUCGGCCGUCAGAAGAUUUACACUCUAGCAGUGAAUUGAUCCGUACACGGAAAGAAAUCAUGUCUGCUUGCUUGAUAACAUGCGACAACAGAACCGUUUACAUCGAAUGUUUUCAAAUUUGAUAACAAAGUUUUCAAAAAUGCUUACAUUGUUAUCACUUUUGACUACAAUCUAUGCUACAAUGCAUUGCAAUGUUGCCUACCUAAAGGCGCAUCCAUUCUUGAGUACCUUUUAUGCGUUACGCAUCUGUCAAAUCUCAGUAAGCCGUGGAGAGAACAACAUAAACAAAACAAAUAAUCGAAUAAAAAAAACUCGUACCAGUUAGUUCCAAGUUCAGCACGUGAAGGAAUGGCGCUUACAGCUGCAGGACCCGAGCAGUGAACAGUGCUCGAUCCGGAUGUUUCGCACGAAACUGCUGGAAUGGAACCGUCUGCCAACUCGUCCAAUGCUGUGGCGUUGGCGAUUCCACGACCACAGUGAAAGAGGACGUUCUACAGGACGGCCACCAAAGGCGGCGGUCAAGUUUGAAACGUUCACGUCAGUCGGGCUGCGGGAUUUGUUCUGGACAAGUUUGAAACGUUCACGUCAGUCGGGCUGCGGGAUCUGUUCUGGACAUGCUCCUGCUCCAGUGCCAAUUAAAAACAUCAGCACCACGCUCAACACUUCCCAAAGCUCCAAAUCUUCUACCAGCGCAGCCGUUUCGGCCGGAAGUGGCCAGCAGACGUGGUUCUACAGCACAAACCGAACAAGCUCAUAGAUAAAAAUUGGAAUUGUUUUAGGUAAGAUUUUUUAGAUCAUAUUCAAAGCCGGGAGAGGCAAAGCACGUCACACCUUUACCAUUUAUUUC